ACGCCGUAGCGCCGAUGGU
rnacentral:rRNA from 1 species